GGUUCUCAGUGCGCUGGUAACUCUGCUGUUAUCCUCUUUUAGGUGCUGCUGCUGCAGUAUCCCUUGCGUACUACACUGAAAGAAAUAGCCUGGACGUGCACCUGGAAUGUGCUCAAAUGAUACCGUGCAACUUGGAAAUGCCCAGAGGCCUUUAUGGUGAGUUUUGUUGAACAAAGCACAGAAGUUCGAUCGCUGCAUGUCAAGAUGACACUAUUUUGAAUUAUUGGGGAAAAAAAAAAAGAUUUAAAAUAUUUGCUCUUUGAAUGAAAUGAGUAACUCCUAGAAUGACUUCAGGUGUGUAAGAAUCCAUCACUUCCCUAGCUAAUAGGAUUACGGAGGUGAUGAAUUGCCCACUGGAGGUUUUGAUAUCUCUGAAUAAAGAAGACAGCCUGCAAGCAAUACUUGCAGCCCGGGCAUUGCUAUAUACCGUGUUCUGGGCUCCACAGUAUAAAGAGGAUGUGAAGAUGCUUGACAGCAUCCGGAGGAGGGCAACAAAGCUGAAAGCACAAAAAUCUCAUGAAAGCAAAGAGAAUUGUACCUCCAAGAAACUCCUUAACAGCCACCACCACCAGAAGAUAAUGUCUGAUGAGCUUUUCUCAACCAAGAAUUUUCCUCCACCAUCUGGCACUGCCACUCAUCCUCCCAGAAGAGGCUGCCAGGCUCCCCCAGGAAGGCGCUGAAAACAGAGCACAGGUUCGGCUAGCACGGCGGUCUGGCAGCUGUGCCUUCGAGCUUCCACUGAGCUGCUUGGCCUCUGCAAACAGGGAGCUGGAAGUAAUCCCUGCCCGUGAGACAGCACGAGGCAGAGCUGCCUAUGUCUCCAUUGACAAGUACCGUAUUGCAAUCGGAGAUCUGCAGAACAAAACAGGUGGUGCUGAGGUCUAUAUCCUGCAUGUUUGGGGUUUACUCUGCAUUAGAUCUGUAGACAAAGACUCCUCGGUGAGCGGAGCAUGUUUUGGCAUCUCAGGGUGCAUCCUUCAGAGGACUCUCUGGCUCAAACCAGAGGUGUGCUUUGCGCAGAAGGAACAUUCUGCAAGCAAGUCCAUGCACAGGAACUGAGGAGAUUAGUAAGAAUUGCUUCAAAGGUGCCCACCUAAUCCAAAUUAAAUAAAUACACCUUAUUUCCUUUUUUCCCUUUGCUUUAAACAAGUAUGAGCCCUGAAAAAGAAAUUACAGAGCAUUUAUGAAAAGUCAUUGCAAACAAACAAAGAAGCCAAACUUUUUUUAAUGUUGAAAAGCUUCAUGUUUUUCCUUUUUUCUUUCCCCUUCUCCAGGGAAAAGCUUUAGGUUUCAGUAGGGAAAGCCUUCAUAAUGCUUUGAAUAGCCAAUCAGGGGAAGAGGAGGAAAUAACCUGAUCUUCUGAGAGCUGUCCUACUGCCCUGCUAACUGUCUGCUGCUGAUGCUUCCUUGCUUGGAAAUACAGACCACAAACAAUUAUAAAAAAAAUGAAUAAGCUUUUAAGAGGCAUAUAGCCCUGGGCAUGUGCAUAGAGGGUGGCAUUAUAUACAUAUGCAUACAUACAUCUAUUUAUUUCUGUAAACAACACUGUACUUUUUUCUUUCUGCUGCGCCCCCCCCCCACCUCUCUGUUUAUUUAUCUGAAUUAUUUGCUUUGUGUACGCUUAUCUGCAGUCCCAGAGCACAUUUAAGUGUUCUACUGAGCGAGUUCCUCAGAAUGAGAGUCUUCAAAUGUGCAUUCUGAUAAUGGUAAAAGGAAAAGGUCUUUCAUAUCUGUUCCUGGCUUUCAGAAUGUUUUUAAAAAUGGGAUCCCUAUUUUGCUUUUGUUUAUUCUUUUUUCUCCUCUUCAUUCAAUAAACAAUGACUAGAUUAAGAGGAGGGAAUGUUUCAUGUAUUCCCUUGUAAACAGUUUUAAAGCUUAAGCAGUUUAUUCUACUUCUAUUUAUUAACACAAGACAGAGUUUGAAGUACACACAGACACAACACUUGUAUUCAUUUAGCAGUGACAGGUUAACUAGACUUUCUAAACAAAGAACAUUAAACACUGUUCGAUCAGUGUCAUCCCCCAGUUCUCUGUCUGGACCAUUAUCCUGGAUUCUGAAUUAAACUCCUAUGU
rnacentral:lncRNA from 7 species